rnacentral:rRNA from 1 species
UCGCUAAUACCGCAUACGACCUGAGGGUGAAAGCGGGGGAUCGCAAGACCUCGCGCGAUUGGAGCGGCCGAUGUCGGAUUAGCUAGUUGGUGAGGUAAAGGCUCACCAAGGCGACGAUCCGUAGCUGGUCUGAGAGGACGACCAGCCACACUGGGACUGAGACACGGCCCAGACUCCUACGGGAGGCAGCAGUGGGGAAUUUUGGACAAUGGGGGCAACCCUGAUCCAGCCAUUCCGCGUGAGUGAAGAAGGCCUUCGGGUUGUAAAGCUCUUUCGGCAGGAACGAAACGGCGGGCUCUAACAUAGCCCGUCAAUGACGGUACCUGAAGAAGAAGCACCGGCUAACUACGUGCCAGCAGCCGCGGUAAUACGUAGGGUGCGAGCGUUAAUCGGAAUUACUGGGCGUAAAGCGUGCGCAGGCGGCUUUGUAAGACAGGUGUGAAAUCCCCGGGCUUAACCUGGGAACUGCGCUUGUGACUGCAAGGCUUGAGUGUGGCAGAGGGGGGUGGAAUUCCACGUGUAGCAGUGAAAUGCGUAGAGAUGUGGAGGAACACCGAUGGCGAAGGCAGCCCCCUGGGUCAACACUGACGCUCAUGCACGAAAGCGUGGGUAGCAAACAGGAUUAGAUACCCUGGUAGUCCACGCCCUAAACGAUGCCAACUAGGUGUUGGGGAAGGAGACUUCCUUAGUACCGUAGCUAACGCGU